rnacentral:rRNA from 1 species
UACGAAGGGGGCUAGCGUUGCUCGGAAUCACUGGGCGUAAAGGGUGCGUAGGCGGGUCUUUAAGUUAGGGGGGAAAUCCUGGAGCUCAACUCCAGAACUGCCUUUGAUACUGAGGAUCUUGAGUUCGGGAGAGGUGAGUGGAACUGCGAGUGUAGAGGUGAAAUUCGUAGAUAUUCGCAAGAACACCAGUGGCGAAGGCGGCUCACUGGCCCGAUACUGACGCUGAGGCACGAAAGCGUGGGAAGCAAACAGG